GAGCUUGGAGCCGCAGGGCUGAAUCCCGCGCGGCUCAGAGAUGGGUUUCUGGACUCGCGAAGCAGCUGCAGCAAGGCAUCACUCACUGUAUAAGUAUUUCCAUUUCUGAGAGCAAAAGGAAGAACUUAAGCGGGCGGCACUUGGAGUGUAAAUUGCUUUGUAGUAUUUAAAGGCAGAAUGGAUCCUGGGCAGCCGAGCUGCAACAAACCAGCAGGACUUCCUGUGAAAUCAUGACCGCCAUGUGCUCUUUCAGCCUCCAUCAAUUCCUACCUCUAAGCACUUGAGAGCCAAAGCAGACCACAGGAAACCACAGUCCUUUGGAGUCAGACUGGAACUACACCAUUGACUCUUCUGGAACUCCAGCUUACUGACUACAGAUCUUGGAACUUUUCAGCUUCCACAACCAU
rnacentral:lncRNA from 1 species